rnacentral:lncRNA from 1 species
UAUGAGAAGUGGGGGAGGGCGGCUCCUUUCACUCCACCCCCUUCCCUGUCUCUGACCUGCCACCCUUCUCUUCUCCAGCUCGUGGGAAAUUCCUGUACAAAAGUUACAAGUGAGAUGACUUACUUCGUGUGUUUAAAAGGAUGAUCCGUUACAAAAUGUAGACAACCAGCCAGAGACCACGGUGCUCACAGUCGUCACAGCAGAGAUCACAGUAACCACCG